ACUCAGUGAAAUUGAACUCGCUGUGAAGAUGCAGUGUACCCGCGGCAAGACGGAAAGACCCCGUGAACCUUUACUAUAGCUUGACACUGAACAUUGAGCCUUGAUGUGUAGGAUAGGUGGGAGGCUUUGAAGUGUGGACGCCAGUCUGCAUGGAGCCGACCUUGAAAUACCACCCUUUAAUGUUUGAUGUUCUAACGUUGACCCCUAAUCGGGGUUGCGGACAGUGUCUGGUGGGUAGUUUGACUGGGGCGGUCUCCUCCUAAAGAGUAACGGAGGAGCACGAAGGUUGGCUAAUCCUGGUCGGACAUCAGGAGGUUAGUGCAAUGGCAUAAGCCAGC
rnacentral:rRNA from 1 species